rnacentral:rRNA from 1 species
CUUGAACGCUGGCGGCAGGCCUAACACAUGCAAGUCGAACGAGUGGCGGACGGGUGAGUAAUGUCUGGGAAACUGCCUGAUGGAGGGGGAUAACUACUGGAAACGGUAGCUAAUACCGCAUACCAUCAGAUGUGCCCAGAUGGGAUUUGCUCGUUGGUGGGGUAACGGCUCACCAAGGCGACGAUCCCUAGCUGUUCUGAGAGGAUGACCGGCCAGCAGUGACCGGAGACACGGUCCAGACUCCUACGGGAGGCAGAAGUGGGGAAGACUGCACAAUGGGCGCAAGCCUGAUGCAGCCAGGCCGCGUGUAUGAAGAAGGCCUUCGGGUUGUAAAGUACUUUCAGUGGUGAGGCGUUACCCGCAGAAGAAGCACCGGCUAACUCCGUGCCAGCAGCCGCGGUAAUAC